rnacentral:rRNA from 1 species
AGGCCUAACACAUGCAAGUCGAACGGUAACAGGAAGCAGCUUGCUGCUUCGCUGACGAGUGGCGGACGGGUGAGUAAUGUCUGGGAAACUGCCUGAUGGAGGGGGAUAACUACUGGAAACGGUAGCUAAUACCGCAUAACGUCGCAAGACCAAAGAGGGGGACCUUCGGGCCUCUUGCCAUCGGAUGUGCCCAGAUGGGAUUAGCUAGUAGGUGGGGUAACGGCUCACCAAGGCGACGAUCCCUAGCUGGUCUGAGAGGAUGACCAGCCACACUGGAACUGAGACACGGUCCAGACUCCUACGGGAGGCAGCAGUGGGGAAUAUUGCACAAUGGGCGCAAGCCUGAUGCAGCCAUGCCGCGUGUAUGAAGAAGGCCUUCGGGUUGUAAAGUACUUUCAGCGGGGAGGAAGGGAGUAAAGUUAAUA